UGUGCUAGACCCUUGCUGUAGCCACCGGAGCAUCGCCGGAGUGUCGCCAGACCCUUUCAAGAAACUGCAGUGGUAGCAAAGACAAAAUAAGUGAGGACUUCAGGCAAAUAUUUUGCACAACCAGGUCAACUACGUUGCAGUAUGAUUGUGGAGUUAUUGUUUUGAGAUUUAUGGAGUUGUGGGAUGUCGCUGAGGAAUACGAAAGCAACACAAUGCCCACCUACAGAAAUGUAAGGAGGAACUGCAAUAGGUUAGGAAGAAAUAUGUUUGUGAUUGGAUGUUGGAUGUGGACAAUGUGCGGAGGGAUGAAGUGUUGCAAGAUUUAGGCCUUAUGUAGAUGUUGAAUAGGGAUUUUUGCAAUGUGAUUGAUGUUUUGUUUACAACCUUUUGAAUAUGUAUUGAUGACGUCUGAAUGUACAUACUUUUUUGCUAGAAAUGUUCAAAGAAAUGUAUUGGUUACAUUUAUUGAUAAUCAAAUUUGAAGAUGAGAA